UUACAGCCAUAUCGCGUUGACAACACCGGUUCUCGUACGACCACCUAAGAUAAGCAUCGUCGAGCCUGGUCAGUAUCUAGAUGGGUAACCGCUGGGAAAUAACAGGUGCUGUAA